ACACACACACACACACACACACACGGCGGUGAGAGCAUAGAACGCACAGAAGCCUCUAGCAAGGUGAGAUGCAGGGGUUUCUUUUGUUUUUGACAGGAUUUGUUCUGUCUGUGGGGGGGUAAAGAAAACAAAGAAAGCUCACUGACCCUUUACAUUUGUAACUGCACUGUGGCAGCAGAGGCCAGGCUAUGUUCAGGAUUUAUGGGGAGAACUCCUGUGUCCACAUCACCUUUUUUUUCUUCUUUAGUUUUUCUUCUGAAAACCCUUACUGUGCAAAGACCUCACCAAACAUCGAGCUAUUGAUCUUAAAAGAGGUGUCCACACUAUUCACUGGAGAAUCUUGACUGGGCAAAGUCGAGAUCAGUUACUCUCCAGAGAGGUGUCUUAGAUCUCUGAAAUGGUCAUUCAUCAUCUCGACUAAAUCUUUCCUGUCAAACUACUACAAACACAGAGGGAAGCGUAACUGAGCUUCUCUAGCCAUCGUGAAUUAUCUGCAUUCAUGGAGGCUACAGCAUGUCAAGUCAGCUAACAGAGUUCUAGAAGCUCGCUCACAAAGGUAAGCACACAAGUUUCUCAACAGUGACAGAACAAAAUCCCCCAUUGCAAGACACCCAAAUGUUCCCUCAAACUGCAUCUCUGCACACAAUAAAAAAAGAAAGAUCUAGAAACAUCCAAAAGAUUUCAAAGUUUCUGCUGCGGAACGAGCGAAUCGAUAGCACGUGAAACAUUGAAAAGCCUUGGACAUCUCAGGGUUAAAUGUGUGCUUUUUGUUUAAUUCUUCCCUCCUUCUCUCUAUAAUGGGGCUCGGGAGACUGCGUUUGAUGAUUCCAGAGAAAUCAAACCGAGGGCAAUGCUAUGCUGCGCUGCACUGCACUGCACUGUGCUUCUGCGGCGGCAGCGGCGG